AAUUUAGUAUGAAAAUUCGAAAUUGAAUUUGAAUUCUUCGAACAUCAACGACUUUUUGUGCAAAUAGAGUUCCAUUUACCUUUCAUCCAAGACACUAUUGGAGAAUCAAAAUCUACUUCUGUUUGAGCCCAAUCGGUCAUAACUCGGUACAGUACCCAUAAUUGAUGUAUCUUUCUCAUAUAUCUUUUAUUUGUUCGAAAGGUUGAUACAGCUAAAGGCCAAACGGUAAGAAAUAUCGACUCCCGGUGUACAACAAUCCUGCCCCAUAAGUCAACAUUAUUUAGAACAGGCCUUUCCCCUUCCCCAUUCCCCUCCAAAAACAAUGUUUUUUUUUGUUUAUUUCGAAAACGGCUCCUAGAUUUUUUUCAUUUUCGAAUAGGUUUUGGAGGUAGUCUAGGUAAAUAUAUUUCGUCCUAAGACACCUGUGUUCGAACAACAUUUCGAUAUCGAAUUUUCGAAUGUCAAAAUUUAAACACUUCCUAUUUUUCAACCGAUUUGCUUAAAUUUGGGUUUUUUCGAAAGAUUUUGAAGUUUAUAAUCUUAUUGCAUCUGACUUAAUCGGUAAUGAAUCGAUAAUGUACCACUUUGUAAAGCAUGGAAAGCUUUGCCUUUUUAUUGUCCUGCCAGAGGGCAGAAACCGAAAAUUUAUUUCGCACUUUUGAAACGUUAAUCCUAUACUUACGUAUUACGUUCAGAUGUUACAUGGCUAGACACAUAAAAACUUUGAAAUAUUAUCAUCUUUAAAACGAAAAUAUAAAA